rnacentral:rRNA from 1 species
GACGAACGCUGGCGGCGUGCUUAACACAUGCAAGUCGAACGAUGAGGCCGGAGCUUGCUCUGGUGAAUUAGUGGCGAACGGGUGAGUAACACGUGAGUAACCUGCCCUUGACUCUGGGAUAACUGCUAGAAAUGGUAGCUAAUACCGGAUACGACCCUCGGAGGCAUCUCCAGGGGGUGGAAAGAAUUUCGGUCAAGGAUGGACUCGCGGCCUAUCAGCUAGUUGGUGAGGUAAUGGCUCACCAAGGCGACGACGGGUAGCCGGCCUGAGAGGGUGACCGGCCACACUGGGACUGAGACACGGCCCAGACUCCUACGGGAGGCAGCAGCGGGGAAUAUUGCACAAUGGGCGCAAGCCUGAUGCAGCAACGCCGCGUGAGGGAUGACGGCCUUCGGGUUGUAAACCUCUUUUAGUAGGGAAGAGGCGAAAGUGACGGUACCUGCAGAAAAAGCACCGGCUAACUACGUGCCAGCAGCCGCAGUAA